CGUAUAUUCUCCUGCAUACUGGCCCGCUCUUCGCGCACUCUCUCUCUUUCUUCCUCUGCGUCGAACCAAGCGGCAGAGAAGCGCGUUUCGUCUUCGUCGUUUGGCGAACACAUCGUACGCCACCCCUUGUGUAUCGCAUGGCAUUAUAACUAUCGGCUCUAUCGCGACGCCUGUGUCGAUACUCGUGAAUUAAGCACCUUGAUCCAUUAAGGAUCGGCGUACUCGUGUGUUCGGAGUUAACGGGUCUGUUUGGCAUUGUUUUAACGCCGCGGUGACCGUGUGCAGCGCCGUUAAUACGACGGCUGAUAACGCGUUAACGGCAUUACGUCAUCGUUUACCGAAUACAAGCAAACGGUUCGCAUAUCAAUCAGACGUAAACCGAGUGAUUGUUUCCACCGUUCGAUCACCAACACGUCGAUUCCACGAUUUGUAGCCGUAAUUCCGACCUCGUCAUUUCCAUGGGAAUUAAUUAACAGCGAAAGGAGAUGGAAUUUAACCGACUGGUAUUGUGGUCAUUUAAUCACGUGGACAGACCAAUGUUGAGGAGUUUACAAAAGGUGCAAGCCCAGCUACAUGAUCCUAACCGAGAUUUCGAGUCUGUAUCUUCGAUUUUUUCAUCGAGACGCUGCAACCUAUAAACUUCGAUACUUGAUCGAUUUUACGACUCGGCUGUAUCGCGGAUGCUACUGUACGAGCGGAGCUCGAAAGUUCCACGCUGCGCUUGUGUUCUUUGCUCGCGGAGAAAUGUACGGGCACGCGUACAUUUUCAUCUGUCUAUAGGUGGAACCGCGGGCCGAGAGAGAACGAGAGAGAAAGCGCCCGGAAGAGCACGGGAGAGAGUCGUAUAUACGUAUAUAUACAUCUGUAUAUACAUGCAGGUAUACAUCGCCAUCGUUCCGUGCUUUCAUUCGUUCGCGGAAAGAAGUAAAGAGCUUUGUCGCCGCGGCAUCAAAAGCUUGAAUGACGCGUCGAUGAAAGAAGGAAGUAUCGGUACAAGAAACUGCACAGUGAAUACUGAAAAGAAUGUAGUCACGGGAAGAAGGAGGACAAGGGGCAGGGGGGAGCAGGAACGGCAGAAGGAGUUAAAAAGGAAAGGAAAAGAUAGCGAAAACGGGAAAGCAAAAAAGGAGGGUACCGGAGGAGUAUUGCGGGUAGAAAACCUUGCAGGGAAAGACCGAUAAAAGUUUCUGCCUUGAGACGGAUAUUGGAAAUACCUUCUUCCUCCGAUCGACUACCGCGAUUUAUUAAUUAAUUCAUUCGCCUUUCGCGCCAAAUCGACCAAAUAGGAAAAAAUUCCAGCAACUUGGCGAACGGCCAUCGAAAAUGAUAAUAUCGCAGCGUUGUUUCGUUGUUUCCGCUAAACUCUCGUAACAACUCGUGAGAUCACGACCGCGGUUAGGAUUUGGUAAAACGAAUCGAUGGAUUACAUCAGUGCCAGGCCACGGUCGAGUUCCAAUAGCUAAGUCAAGCAUGCCGGAUUUCGUUAAACUAUUACGAGUAUUCAAAGCGUGAGCCUUGUUGCGUAUACAGGGUGUCCCGUAUAGCUGGCCCGUGGAAUCACGACGAAAUGACGUGAAGCUGGGAGAGCAGAGGAGAGGAGAGAAGACUGAAAAGCCGUACCCGCGGCAGCGUAUGCAGAUAAUCGGUACAAAGCCUUUCGUCGAAUGACAAAGGAGAGCACUGGCCAGCCUCGUGGUUCUCUUGCAUCUAUAUGCCAACGCAUGCAUACACGCUCGCAUUCAGCCGGUAUUAUUAUACUGGAUGGCAGCAUGCUGCUAGGAAAGGCCCAGUUCCUAACGGCUUUAUUCUACUCGUUAAAACGAGAUAAAGCUUCCGCGGUGAUUCUUAUGAUUUUGUCGUGGAUUCAAGGAAACAUCUAUGACAUCGCGAGGAACUCCGCGUAAUACUUUUCUACUUCUACGCUACCGUUAUGGACGUGGUUGAGUAGCUUUAAUUAUUUACCAACGAGUACUGCCACCGACGCAAUUGUCAGAAUCGUCAGAACGGCGAAGACAGGAAAGGAAACUGUCGAGGUUAUUAGAUGUACAGACAGAGGAACGCGUGGAUAAAUUGUAAAGUAGGAAAUAUAUUUUAAUACAGGAGUGUAAGUACAAGUAGGGAUAUAAUUUGAGCUGAUCCAGAUCCACACGCUAGCAGUGUUACCCUAUAACUGAAAGUCCCGAAGCCAUCGUCGCCUGUCUAGUGUCUAUGGUCUGCCUUCGUCUCAGUCUACUGUCUAUACGCUGUCGAUGGCUUCAGUGCUCGAGAAAACUAAAAAGACCAGAUGUAGAGUUUCCUUAGAAGUGGUGACCACUUCAACGGAAACAUUAUUCGGAAUAAAUGAACUUCUGAUGGAAAAUGCUUAAUUGCAGCAACAAGUAUCGUUAAUAAGCAUUAUCUUUUAUCCUGCAAUUUGUUAAUCAAAUGGAGGAACAGAUACGAGGUAAAAAAAAAAAUUGUGCGCUUGGCAAGAUACUGCGAAAUGCUUAGAAACGUUGGAAAUGCAGCCAGUGACCGCGGUGCAGCGUACGCUUUCUCGAUCGCGUCGACAACGCGUCAGAAAGCAACAUCUUAUUUCGAUAAAAGUCGCGGAAGUCUAUUAAUCACUGGAGCGCAUUGUGACAUUCAACCGAGCGGCAUUCAGGGUUUCAAUAUUAUCGAUACUCAACAGCGGGGCCAGCAUCCGCGUCUAUUGAAAGAGAGUUUAUCAAUAGAGUGCAGGACACUCUUGCUGUAUCCGCCUCCAAAGCGUUCUAAGCUCAGCGACGUACCUACGAUCUUUCGGAAACGAUGACCGUCGUCAGGAAAAAAAUCUUUUUACGCAGGCUAAACGCGACUGGCAGUUCGACACGGGAACGCUGUAUUCGAUGAUUUCCAAUUAAUAUAUCGUAUAAUAGACAGCCUUGAAAGCUUUUAUCUCUCCGGAGCGGUUUCACCAUCCAAGCACGUACGCAAAAGGAGGAUGAAACUAAUCUGGGUUAGUAUGGUUAAGGGGAUUUUCGAGAAAGCCACAAGUGGUCGAGACGGAUACUAUUCUUCCUUAUGUGAAACUUCGAUUAAGCUUAUACGUCGGAAAUAAUUCAUGUUAAUGCCGACAAGCGGCUAACUUUCAGGGAGUGUCAACGUUCAUGGUCAGACACACCUAUUGCCCCUCCUAUGGAAGAUCGAUAACGAAAGACAGGCUUCGGCUACUUUAAGGAGGUUCGAGACGUCAUGGUCAGACAUUGCCUUCAAUUCGAAUAGACACGUUAGAAAGAAUACAUUUCGAAUAGUCUCACCUUCGUCUCAAGGAGAAUGAUUACACCACGGUCGGUCGUUGUUUCUCCUGGAAUUGCUCUUACUUUUUAAGAAGAUAGAAUACGUCGUAUUCAGAUAUUCAGAUAAUUCAGACAUUGUAAUGAUGCUUCAACGGAUGCAGAAAAACUCACGUUCGUGUACUCUUACUUUCUGAUCGAUCUUAAUUAUCAGCGGUACUUUCAAGCUCGUCAAAGAUAUCGUAUGCAGCGUGAAAGUCUCCCUGCAUUGGCGUUUGAAACGAAUCCUCCGUUAAUCCGGCCAGCAUAGAAAAAAACACGAAAAGCCCGACGAAUUCGCGGAAUGCACGGUUUCCUGACCAACAGACGAUUCUUUCCACGGUCCAGUUAGACGAUACAGAAUUAAGCUCGAAAAGUACUCGGCGAGUACCGGGACGAUGGAAUACCGGGCCUAUAGAGCUAUAAACAGCGACAAAAGGAUACCGAGUGGGCGACGAGCAUUGAAUGUACGAGAAAGGAUUGUAUGCCAGCGAACGAUGCUGACGAUGGUAGCGACGUUGCUGUUGCUUUUGGCAUACGUGUGUCACGUACGGUAUGUCUGUCUGCGGCCUGCUUUUCGGUGUAUCCGCGCUGCCGGCAGAAAAGAGGAGUAUUUUAGCUCGCGUCCAUAUGAACGUAGGGACGAAACAAUGUAGCUUUUGUGCGAGAAAGGAACGGAAAAGCAAAGCCAAAGAGAGAGCCUAAGAGCGAUUGAAAUGCUCGGCCGUCUGUCUCUUGUUCUCCACCGCCUCCCUUCGUCGUCCCACCCUCUUUAUCUAUUCUCUUUUCCUUUCUCUGCGUCUUUGCCGCUUCUGUCUUUUUACCACUCAGCCAUCUACGUCGUGCUUCUUCCUUCGCUUCAUCUUUGCUUUGAUCGCAACACUGCCAAACUGCGAGUGAUCGCAAACGCGUACACCUUCUUCUCGGACAACGAUCAUCCAUUCCGAGUCUCUUCGUUCUUUAUACACGAUUCGCCUAACUCGUAAACCUUGACCUUUUGCAGUUAGCUGUAAGAUGACAGUCGUGUAUACCAUAUAAAUUUUUUUUCUUUUUUUUUUAAUGUAGCACACGAUAAGAUGAAAUAAAAUGACAUUUCUCGUGUACAAGGUCACGAAACAACUAUCGAAUUGAGAACGAUUCGUUACUAACCCGCAAAGCCGAAGACGACAAAGAGAUUCUUUUUUUUGGUCGAACCUCGAAGAGAAGCAAAGAUGUCAGAAUGAGAAAGUAACGACGCGCGGAGCGAAGACGCGGUUGGCAAUAGAAGGGUGGUAUGUGCAAGAAGGGCAAGUAUUGGUAGACACAGAUGUGAGGGGUGGUUGCAGGUUGAUAGUCAAGACUGCCUUCAGAUUCCAGAGUGAAGCAUUGUGUCCCGAACGCGCAUUGUCCUCCCGUCACCGGCAACUCGACAAUGCCGAGUCCGUAAGUUAGUAACCCUACCGUAAAAACUUAUCUCCACCCCAAACCAUCGACCUCCAGCCUCCAUGAUUCCGUUCGAUUUCCAACCA